UGUGUAGGCGGCUUUUUAAGUUUGGUGUGAAAUCUCCCGGCUCAACUGGGAGGGUGCGCCGAAAACUGAAAGGCUAGAGUGCGGGAGAGGAGAGUGGAAUUCCUGGUGUAGCGGUGAAAUGCGUAGAUAUCAGGAGGAACACCGGUGGUGUAGACGGCUCUCUGGACCGUAACUGACGCUGAGACACGAAAGCGUGGGUAGCAAACAGGAUUAGACUACCCUGGUAGUCCACGCCCUAAACGAUGCAUAUUUGGUGUGGGUCAUUCAGUUGAUCCGUGCCGGAGCUAACGCGUUAAAUAUGCCGCCUGGGGAGUACAGUCGCAAGGCUGAA
rnacentral:rRNA from 1 species